rnacentral:rRNA from 1 species
GUUGCGGCUAAAAAGCUCGUAGUUGGAUUUCUGUUGAGGACAUCUGGUCCGCUCUAUGAGCGUGCAUCUAGUUUGGCCUCGGCAUCCGCUCUGCAAACGUUUCUGCGCUUGAUUGCGUGGCACGGAGGUAGGGCCUUUUACUUUGAGGAAAUUAGAGUGUUCACGGCAGGCAAUCGCCUUGAAUAUAUUAGCAUGGAAUAAUAACAUAGGAUCUUGGUUCUAUUUUGUUGGUUUCUAGGGCUAAGAUAAUGAUUAAUAGGGACAAUUGGGGGCAUUCGUAUUGCGGUGUCAGAGGUGGAAUUCUUGGAUUAUUGCACGACGA